CGCGAAUAGCUCAUUACAACAGCUAUAAUUCACUUGAUCUUGACACAAUCCUACUUGGAUAACUGUGGUAAUUCUAGAGCUAAUACAUGCAUUAAAGCUCUGACCUCACGGAAAGAGUGCAUUUAUUAGAACAAAACCAAGCGGCUUCGGCUGUUUUCGGUUGACUCAUAGUAACUGAGCUGAUCGCAUGGUCUUGCACCGGCGACGUGUCUUUCAAGUAUCUGCCGUAUCAACUUUCGAUGGUAGUGUAUCUGACUACCAUGGUGAUCACGCGUAACGGAGAAUAAGGGUUCGACUCCGGAGAGUUCGCCUGAGAAAUCGCGAACACAUCUAAGGAAGGCAGCAGGCGCGAAAAUUACCCACUCUCAGCACGAGGAGGUAGUGACGAAAAAUAACGAGACCGUUCUCUUUCGAGGCCGGUCAUCGGAAUGGGUACAAUUUAAACCCUUUAACGAGUAUCUAUGAGAGGGCAAGUCUGGUGCCAGCAGCCGCGGUAAUUCCAGCU
rnacentral:rRNA from 1 species